CAGCCGCCACGGUAAUACGUAGGGCGCAAGCGUUGUCCGGAAUUAUUGGGCGUAAAGAGCUCGUAGGCGGUUUGUCGCGUCUGCUGUGAAAUCCCGAGGCUCAACCUCGGGCUUGCAGUGGGUACGGGCAGACUAGAGUGCGGUAGGGGAGAUUGGAAUUCCUGGUGUAGCGGUGGAAUGCGCAGAUAUCAGGAGGAACACCGAUGGCGAAGGCAGAUCUCUGGGCCGUAACUGACGCUGAGGUACGAAAGCAUGGGGAGCAAACAGGAUUAGAUACCCCUGUAGUCCCUGUCUCUUAUAC
rnacentral:rRNA from 1 species